GCCUCUGUAGCUUAGUUGGUCAGAGCGCUGCACCGGAAUCGCAGAGCCGCAGGCUCGAUUCCUGCCAGGGACC
rnacentral:tRNA from 1 species